GCUACAGUCUAUGGGGUUGCAAAGAGUCGGACACGACUGAGCGACAUCAUUCAUUCAUUCAUUAAAAACAACAAAGCCACGUAGAUUUUAAAUCUCUAUGGGUAUUGAAAUAGACAUAUGGAGAUAAUAAAUAUUAUUCAAGUUUCUUAUCUAAUGUUAGUUCCUAAAUAUUGAUGUGUUCUUACAUAUAAAUAGAUGAAGUUCUAAUCUCAGGCAAUAGUUUAAAAGGAGGCAAACAUGGCUCAAUAAGAAAGAAGAAUACUGACUCAUCUUUAUGUAUACCACUAAUUCUCUCUUCCUAGUUUAGUAUGAACAUGUAGACGGGCACAUGAAAAUCAGUUCUAUUUUGGGUUGUUUCCAUUCUGGAUUUCUGUCAUUUUCUUUGUGUGUUUGCAUAUUUGAACAUAUGAUCACAUAUUCCAUGAAUAAUUCCAGGCCUGAAUAAAUAGAACAGUGAACAGUUGAAUUAAUGUGUGAGUAGGGUCAAGCAUAGACUUUGGUGAGAAUAUGCCACGAAUGAUAAAUUCUAAAUUCACCCAUUUCUCUGCAAAUUGAGUCCAGUAAAAGGAUUAUCUAGGCUUUUACUUAUGUGGGUAGGGGUCUAUAGACAGGUAUGAGCAGUAGUAGCAAUUUUUCUUUUUGAGCGAUGAACUCAACUGUGCUCAUUGGAGUAUCUGAAAGUAUUAGUUAAACCAGGUAGUAGGAAUGAGUGCUCCUCAUGGGUCAAAGAUGAAAAUGAGACUUGAGUGGACUUCAUGAUUAACCUAGUGUCACACAGCUAAUAUCCUUUCAAUCUGUCUACAUCUGGACUGUUCCUUCUUUUGAACAUUGGCGUUUGACCCCACAGAAUGAAGACUGGCUGCUUCAAUCAGUCUUCUCUGAGGAAGAUCUUGGCGGUUCCUUAGUGGAAUGGAUGCUCAAUGAUUCAAUUAAGGACUGUAGAAACUUAUGGUGGGUGUGCCAGGCUAAUUUAAAGAUCUUUCCUGGUCAGGAGCUCUAGAAUGGAUGCCUAUUAGCAGAUUUCGGCAUCUCCCACGGUCAUACGCUCUGUAGACCGAGAAUGGACCAGUGGAGCUGGUUGAAAAGCUCUUUCACGGACGUGCUCUCUGGUUGUCUCCAUGCCUUUGGUGUAUAGAGGCCCAUAAACAGAAUGCUGAACCUCGAAGUUCAUGGUGGCCUCACUGUAGGAGUGUUAAGCCCACUAAUCAGUGCACUCAAGCGGAUAUAUGCGUUUUCCAUGGUUUCCUUUGUGUAUUGAGAGCCUAGAGAAGAAUAAUGGACGCACACCAGUGGGUUUCAGUAUCUUCUGUGGUCUUGGACUCUAUAGACUGAUAAUGGAUGCACCUGAAUUUAUUAAGCAUUUGACUGGGAUCAGGGCCUCUGCUGGUUUUCCUGUGUAUAAAUACAUGUGGGUCAUAAUGGAUCCCACAAGCUGAUUUAAGCUUCUGCUCUGAUUAAGAUCAUCAUGUUGGCUCUCUCAGGAGGGUAACAAAGCUACUUAUUAUUCCAGAUUAGGUUUGCACCACAGUUUACAAACAUUCCUCUGUCGAGAAGAUCUAAGCUAUUAAUUUAGUGAAGCAACCUGCAGGAAAAUGUUUUCCCUAAACAGUCCUUAGUUGGUAGCAAUAUAAGCUAUUUUCAUCAUGAGGAAGAGCACAUUGGAGAUGAUGGGUUCUCAAUGCUGUUCAAGUUUCUACCAUGAUUCCUGUGAUCAAAAAAUGUAUGGCUGCAUCUAUCUAUGUGCAGGAACCAGUAACAGAUACUGGAGUGGACUUCAGCUUCUGCUACAAUGAAGAUUAUCAUAGUGUCUCCAUCAGGAAAGAGACCAAGACUGGACAUACUUGAGAUGAUUUAAGCAUCUUCCAUGAUCCCAAGCCCUUUGGUUGCCUCUAUAAAAGUAUGGAGGCCAGUAAUGGAUGCCCUUGAGCUGACUUAAGCAUCUUUCCUGGUCUGGAGCCCUGCGGUUGCAUCUGUAUGUUAGGACAGUGGAGAACAAUAAUCGACGCCUUUGAGCUGAAUAGACUGUCAGUAGCCCGUGGUCGUGAACCUUACAAUUAUAGAAACCUGUCAUGAAUGCAUGGGAUCUGAUGGAGGGAUUCCUCAUGGAGCACCAGCCUAGGAUGGCGUCUUCACUGUUGGAACCAUAGACCCUAGACCCAUGAAGAGUCCUGAAGGAUGAAAACGUUUCUGAAGUCUCUCUGAGAUCCGACCCAGAACAUAAACUGAACGCGCUAAAGAUGAUUUAGCAUCUGUCGUGGGCACCAGAUCUGUGGUUGCCUGUGAAUAAUAAGAGAAUGGAGAUUAAUGUGCGUAAUAGUUGAAGUUCCAUUUUCAGUAUUUCUUAUUAAAGAAAUUCACUCAAUCAUUAAGGAAUGUGGAAUAUGAGCAGAGAAGAAGGGGUGUUCCCGCUGCUUCAGCCUUUACUGUGUUCAGUCCUCGGCUGCCUCUGUGUCAGGAAGGCCCUAAGAAUGAAUGCAAUAGAAUGAUUUAACAUCUUCCAUGGAUGCCAGCUGUAUAGCUGUAUAGCUCUGUAGUUGCCUCUGUAUAACAGGAGGAUGGAGACUAACAGGGCGAACACGAGGCCCGAAGGAUGGAUUCCUCUUGGAGUACCUGCUUAGGAUGGCAUCUUUGCUGUUAGAACCAGAGACCCGUAACAGAAGCUCAAGGUGAUUUCAGCCUCUACUGUGAUCAAUAUCAUUUUCAGGAAAGAGGUGGAUGUUGCUGCUGCCUCAGCUUCUGCUGUGCGUGGUGGUCACACCACCUCUGUGUCAGGAAGGAGCUUAAGGCAAACAGUGCUCAAGAUUGUUGUCUUGGAUUGGGAGAUUUGUCUGAUGAUGUUUACGGUAUUAUUAAAAAAGUAUUCGAUUAAUCAAAAAGUUGCUCAGUGAUAAAUAUGAUAAGAAGGAUUAUUUUGAAUAAUUGGUAAUGGCCAGGAUUGAGGUCCAAAAUUAGAAGAGAAAGGGCCUUAAUGGGAAAUGAUUCUGUAAACUAAGGUUAUGGAUAUUCAAGGGUUUUAUUCUUGGGAUGUUUAGUGAAUCAUAUAUUAUUUUUAUUAAUGCCAAUUAAUCAAUGAUUUAAUCAAUACAAAUAUAGAAAUAAGGGAGAAAAGAGACUCAGUGUUGGACCAGUGAUGUUUGUGAUGGGAAGAGCCCUGAACAAUGAAAAACUAUGUUUGAAACUCUGAGGUCCCAUCCAGAACAUUGGUAGUGUCUUCCUUCUGGUGAAAUUGUUUCUGUCUAGAGAGAUAUCAGGAAUAUAAGCAGAUUAUAUUCUUACAUUGAUUUCAUAGAUUUUGAUUUGUUAUAAUUAAGAGAUCGGCGAUGGAACCAUUAAGUAAAUAUAAAUAUAUAUAAGGAAAACUAAGGUAAAGCUUUGUCCAAAGAUGAACAUACUGAGUGAGGCAAAAGAUACUGUAAUGAACACUGAAGUCCCUACGUCCCAUUAGAUAAAUGGUGGAGGCUCUUCUUUGACCAAGGUUAGAUAGAAAUGCGUAAGAGGCAGUUUAAUUGUUCUGCCGCAGACUAAAGAUUGAGUUUUUCCUUUCAACAAGAUUAAAAAAAUAGCAAAAGGAAAAGUAAUAAAUACCUAAAUACUGAGAAAAUAAAACAUAGAAAACAAGGAUCAGUGGUUAUUAGGUCUCAAUGUUUUUAUCAGCCGUGUUCUGUCCUGUUUAGAAUGAAGGCAGUUCAGAUGAUUUAGCGUCUGCCAUGGACAAAUGAGCUCUGUACUUUGUGUAAUAAGAGCAUGGAGAUUAAUGUGAGUGAUAGUUGAGGAUCUCUGGUUUUUUAUUAGAUUAAUUUAGUGUAUUAUUAAGAAAUAUAGAGUAAAAUAAAGAAGGCAGCUGCUUUUCAGUGUUGCGCAUUGAUAUAUACAACCCAUUAUUUUGAUUAAAGCAAUAUGAAAAACAAUCUAUAAAAGAGAGAUAUAUUUAAGUAAGAAUUAUUCUAUACACAUUAAGACUUUUUAAAAAUUGUACUGCUAAAAUUAUUGAAUUUUUAUUUAAUGAAUACAAGUAGAAAUAAAUGUAGGAAAAUAGGAACCAUGUUGGCUCUAUGAGUGAUAUAUGGUGAAUACUUGUCUGGAAUUCUGAGUUGCAGUAUUAAAGUAAUCUAGUCCAUUCUCAACUUGAGAAGGCAUCCUAUAGCGAUAUCAGGAAUAAAUGAGGGGCUUAUCUGUGGUCUUUGUGUUCAUGAAUUUUCAUUGUAUUAUUAUAAUUGGAAAAUGAGAGAAUCCAUAAAUAUAUAAUUAAAAAUAAAGAUGGAUGAAAUGAA